rnacentral:lncRNA from 1 species
AAAAAAAAGCAGGGAGAGGUGAACAAGGCCAAAAGAACGUAAACCAAAGAAGUAAACUCUGCAAAUCUUGAUGAAUACAACUCCACUGAUUAUACAUCUUUGAGCAUAUUAUGAUCCAUAUCUCCAACUAAUAAAAGACUAAAAGAUUGCCUUUGUUAGGAAAAUCAUAAAAAUGAAUUUAAAAGUACAUAAAGUAACAGCAAGAAAUUCUGUUGUAUUCCAUUUUGAUGAAGGCAGACACAGUUAGAGAAAAACACAGGCAUAACAUUUCUAACCAAGGCUGAAGAGAUCAGAGUUUUGUUGGUAAAGUUAAGGAGGCAUUCUCAAAGAAAGGAUGCUGUGCACAUGAACAUAUAGAGUCACUACAGUCUCAAACCCAUGUUGCUGCAGGACAAAUCAUAAUUCUAUUACACAUUUUCUCAAAUAGGAAAGGACAAAUAUGUGGGCUGCAACUUCUGAGCAAACUAAAAAUAAG